rnacentral:sRNA from 1 species
GUGUAAGAUGAGAUACCAUUAACCAUAAAAUUGAGCACAGUCGUGUGCUCUGAUUAUAUCAUCGUGUCUUUUUAGGCGCAAUCAAAAAGAACCUGGGCAGUUUUGCCAGGUUCUUUUCAUU